CCUAAAGAUAGCCAAAGUAUCACCCAAAUCAUUCCAAUAGCACCACUAACAUAGUAUAUAGCAGGCCAUCCACAUCGGCUUCCAGCCAAAAAUCCUGAGCCCACCAAAGUUAUAACAGUACCAAACUGAAUACCUAGAUGAAAUAACGCUGUUGGUCUUACUUUUUACAAGAAUCCUCACGCUGGAGAAAAAUGUCAACUUGACAGCUAUCAUGUUUUACCUCCCAACACAAAUCCAACGAGACGUCCACGUUCAUUUGGAGGCGACCAUUUAGCACUAAUACCAUGGAUCAUAGGCAUUGUAAAAGCCUACAAAUAUUAAUACAUAAAAAAUAAAUAAAAAUAUUGUUUAGUUUUAAUUUAAUGUAAUUUAUACUUAAUAAAACCACGUCUUAGGACAACUAA